UUUGGAAGGGAGGGGAAUAAAGUGCUUUUCUGAAAACAUCACCCAGCUGGCGGUCUGAUACCCUUGGCACAAAGCACCUGCUCUCCACCAGGGCUGGCAGGGCAGAGUUGCGGAAAAUGUGGGCACCGUGGGUACUGCCUGACCAGCUGGCACUCACAUUCAUGAAGGCAGUGGCAUAGUCAAUGAUGGCCUGAAGCACGAUGGAGUGAAUGCCCCGCUAGCUGUAGUAGGAGCGGUCACUGCAGGUCAGGCAGGUAACAGGGAUAUGGGUCCCAUGUGGGGCCCUGAUACACUGGGGGAAGCCCAGGGCAUGGAACCCAGCCACCACCUCCAGGGUGUCAUACACCUGGAGCAUGCUGUGUGCCAGCACAUCCUGGUGGGUGCCACAGGCCUCCAGGAGAGCCUUCCCAGUGGUUGCCAUGCCUAUACUGAAUAGGUGGCCAAAGUAGUGGAGGCUAGCAGCUGUGACCAGGUUGAACAGAGUGAUGGCCAGCUGAGUGUCUGCAGGGAGGGGCCACUGCAUGAUGGUACUCUGCUGCUUUAGGUGCAGGCACAGCUGAUUAAGGAGCUCCUGGAAGGUGGUCCAAGUCAUCUGAAAAGACUUCAGCCACUGAUUGCUAUCCCAGCUGCACUGGAUGACAUUGCAACCACCAGUCCUGGCUGGCUGGACAGGCCCACAGGUGGUGGGGUUGGAGCCCCAGGAGCUGAUGAACAGCACCAGUGGUGGUGUUCAUGUGCACAUCAUUGGCAUCCAUGCUGGGGUCUGGGCAGCAGUAGCGUGGUAUCAGGGGGCCUCAGAUGCCAUGGUGAGUCUGACCAUGCAGUUAUACAGCACAGAGGGGCAGGCAGGGCCAAGACUGAACUGGGCCAGGUGGUGGACACCGUGGUAGUAAAGUGUACAGGAUCCUGGGGCAUGCAUUGUCACUCCUGGGGCUGUAGCAGUCAUCAUGUGGAGGGCACAGGCUCCCAGGGGUAGAUCAGACAUUGUGCAGUGGGCACAGGCUCUGGCAACAGUCACAGAGGGCAUUCUGAAGCCUGCUCUGGGCCACAAAAGGCAGGUGGCCAGGGAGCACCACACAGGGCUAGCUUUUAAAGAGGGCCCCAGGCCACAGGCCUCCUUGGCCACCGCAGGGGGGCAGGGCAGGUUUGGAAGAGGCCAGAAGCAGGCUAAUGUGAUGAGGAGCAAAUCUGCUUCCAAAUGGCUGCACAUGUGGAUGCCUGCCAAGGGUGGGCUUACUCUGCAGUAAAUUACUGUGAAGUAAACCCAUAUAUCACUAAUUGCUGGUGUAGAUGGAUCUUCUGAGUCCUACCCAGCAUACCUGCUACUCCCCACAGCUUAGUGUCAUCUGCAGACUUGCUGAGGGUGUACUCCAUCCCAUCUUCCAGAUGGUUGAUGAAGAUAUUGAACAAAACCAGCCCCUGGACUGACACCAGGAACACUCCACUUGAUACCAGUUGAAAAUUAGACAUCGAGCCAUUGAUUACUACCUUUGGGCAUUUGUACACACUACAGCAUUUGAUCCUUGUUAAUUCACCUCGCCUUAAAAAUUUUAACCUGGGUCAUUUUGGUUCAUCGUGUUUGUGUUCACACAGCAUAGGCUUUCAAACAAAUUAAUUCCUGUGUGUAAUUACCAGCAAAUUCCAGCAGUGGGAGACAAAUACCAAUCUAGCUUGGAUCACCCUGCUGCUGCUCCCACAAGCCUAGUAAAGCAAAAUCCCUGACAUCUGGGCAAGGCAGGGGGAGUGGGGUUGCCUCUCUCUAAAGGCUGGAGGAAACUCCAUAGGCAGCUGGGCAGCACAGAGCCUGGUGCCUAUGUUUGCAGGGGCUGAGCAGCCAGGAGAUGCUGCCCAGGGGAAAGGAGGGGUGGGGGGACUGUGGCCAGGCUGCCUGCCUCAGCACAGGAGCCCCAUCCCAGGGCAGGGGGUGCCACAAGCCUCCUUUCCUCUUCCCUCCAUCUAGGGUUACCAUAUGUUCGGGUUUUCCCGGAAAUGUCUUCUUUUUUGGCCCCCUGUGCUGUGUCUGGGCAGGCUUUCUAAAUUUCCUCCCAAGUUCAUUUUCAGCAUGGCCACUGCCAAGUAGAACUAGUUUCCAGAAUACAUAAGAGCAGCCAAGUUGAAAACGGACCUAGAAUACCACUAGGUAGAACUACAGUUCCCAGAAUACAAUGCUUUGCUCCACUGGUGGGGCCAGGGGGAAGGGGAUUACAGGCAGCAGAGGGCACAGAGGUUCAGGAGUGAGAGAAAAGGAUUUCUUGAGGAUCUGCUCCAUGACUUUUCCAGGGACUGAGGUGAAGCUGACCAGUCUGUAGUUCCCUGGAUAUUUUUUUCUUCCUUUUCUUAAAGAUGGACAAUGUCUUGCCUGUUAGUAUGGAUUAUUUUUCAGUAGAAGAACAUCAUGGAAAAAGAAAGAUCAUGGCUUUUGUGUUGACGUUCGAGACUUCAAGGGUGGAAGGCAAGGGACAUAGAUACCUAGAUGCAGCUUUGUUGAGGAGUAUGAAGCUUCACCUUUAUAUUAACUGAAAAUCUGGUCAGGGGGAUUUAAGUACCCCUUGAAUUCCCAUAGUCCUCCACUGAGUUUCUCUGUAAUUUUGGGAAAAUGUAUUCCAUUUAAUGCGCUAUCACACAUUUAUUACCACAAGACAGCUGCUACACUGGGAGGUACACAAAUGCUAGCAUGUUGAAAAUGUUAAAAGAAACUCUUUUUGUAUAGGUUUUUUUCCACAACAUUUCAAAUAAAUUGUAUAUGU